CCGGGUUUUCUCGUUGGAUUAUUUCCUCCCGAGCUUCUGGUACGCUAUAGCGGUAGACGCUGGCUGUUGGUUAAAUUACUGGGGCGAUCAGGUUGUGCGAUUGCUACAGCCGUGGUGAGGAGACGCGUGAGUGCAUCCGCCGUGCAGUACAGCGCCUCCAAGUUCUGGGCGAACUGAGGAUCUACCAGCGGCCGUGGGACCUUAGGUGGCGGGUCGUUUUCCACACUUCUUUUGUUGUACAGCACCAGGUGAAUAGACUAUAGUAGGUUUUUUUUGUGUGGUUUUCUUUUGGUCCACCGCUGCUGGUAAGUCCCAGUUGUAUUUAUUUUUAUUGUAAUUUGGGA